UACGGGGGGGGCAAGCGUUGUUCGGAAUUACUGGGCGUAAAGGGCGCGUAGGCGGCCUACUAAGUCGGACGUGAAAUCCCUCGGCUCAACCGAGGAACUGCGUCCGAUACUGGUGGGCUUGAAUCCGGGAGAGGGAUGUGGAAUUCCAGGUGUAGCGGGUGAAAUGCGUAGAUAUCUGGAGGAACACCGGUGGCGAAGGCGGCAUCCUGGACCGGUAUUGACGCUGAGGCGCGAAAGCUAGGGGAGCA
rnacentral:rRNA from 1 species